rnacentral:rRNA from 1 species
UACGUAGGGUGCGAGCGUUAAUCGGAAUUACUGGGCGUAAAGCGUGCGCAGGCGGUUUUGUAAGCCAGAUGUGAAAUCCCCGGGCUUAACCUGGGAAUGGCAUUUGGGACUGCAAGGCUGGAGUUUGGCAGAGGAGACUGGAAUUCCCGGUGUAGCAGUGAAAUGCGUAGAUAUCGGGAGGAAUACCGAUGGCGAAGGCAGGUCUCUGGGCUAUAACUGACGCUCAUGCACGAAAGCGUGGGGAGCGAAUGGG